UCUCUGGUGGUCCAGUGGUUAAGACUCUGUGCUUACAAGGCAGGGGCUCUGGUUCAAUCCUAGGUUGGGGAA
rfam:TPA: Bos taurus chromosome 21, whole genome shotgun sequence.